rnacentral:rRNA from 1 species
UACGAAGGGGGCUAGCGUUGCUCGGAAUCACUGGGCGUAAAGGGUGCGUAGGCGGGUCUUUAAGUCAGGGGUGAAAUCCUGGAGCUCAACUCCAGAACUGCCUUUGAUACUGAAGAUCUUGAGUUCGGGAGAGGUGAGUGGAACUGCGAGUGUAGAGGUGAAAUUCGUAGAUAUUCGCAAGAACACCAGUGGCGAAGGCGGCUCACUGGCCCGAUACUGACGCUGGAGGCACGAAAGCGUGGGGAGCAAACAGGG